rnacentral:rRNA from 1 species
UAACGGGAGGCAGCAGUAGGGAAUCUUCCACAAUGGACGCAAGUCUGAUGGAGCAACGCCGCGUGAGUGAAGAAGGUUUUCGGAUCGUAAAGCUCUGUUGUUGGUGAAGAAGGACAUGGGUAGUAACUGAUCUAUGUUUGACGGUAAUCAACCAGAAAGUCACGGCUAACUACGUGCCAGCAGCCGCGGUAAUACGUAGGUGGCAAGCGUUGUCCGGAUUUAUUGGGCGUAAAGCGAACGCAGGCGGGAGAACAAGUCAGCUGUGAAAGCCCUCGGCUUAACCGAGGAACGGCAACUGAAACUGUUUUUCUUGAGUGCAGAAGAGGAGAGUGGAACUCCAUGUGUAGCGGUGAAAUGCGUAGAUAUAUGGAAGAACACCAGUGGCGAAGGCGGCUCUCUGGUCUGUAACUGACGCUGAGGUUCGAAAGCAUGGGUAGCGAACAGGAUUAAAUACCCUGGUAGUCCAUGCCGUAAACGAUGAGUGCUAAGUGUUGGGAGGUUUCCCNCUCUCANUGCUGCAGCUAACGCANUAANCACUCCNCCUGGGGAGUACNACCCCAAGGUUAAAACUCAAAGGAAUUGACGGGGGCCCNCCCAANCGGUG